GGGAUCGUAGCUCAACGGUCAGAGCAGGGGACUCAUAAUCCCUUGGUUCCGGGUUCGAAUCCCGGCGAUCCCA
rnacentral:tRNA from 1 species